GACUGUGAAACGACAUACAUAGGAAUGACAAAAAAUCAACUAAAAACAAGACUCAGUGGACACUAAACACUCAUCAACAAACACAAACGACUUGUAGAAGUAAACACAACACAUGCAAACGAAGAGAUAGGUAGGCUUAAGGAAAUGACUGCACUAAUGAAACACACCAUUGACCACGAUCAUGAAUUCGACCUAACCAAAACAACCAUCCUAGAUCAAACACGGAGAGCUUCAGAUCUCCCGAUAUUGGAGAUGUGUCACAUUUCAAAUCAGACUAACACAGUAAACUAUAAAACUGACGUAGACAACCUCAAUACCACUUACGCUGGAAUACUACACACCAUCAGAAAUGUUAAAAGUAGACGAUCUAGACAAAACGAUGAAAAUAGCAACACAUAGGGUUAAGAACUAGACUAAAAAGCUCAAUCAAUUUCACCAUUUUGAAACAGUCGUUGGUGGAUCAAGUAGUAGUACUGUGCAAAGUUAAUGAUAAAAGUUCUCACAAAAUCACCACAAAAAAGCCCAGAUCAUGACCAACCGACAACCACAAAACCAGACAAUUUAGGACAAAAACGAUAGACCAAUUUUUCCCUUGAAAAAGGCCACAUCCCAUGGCCGAAACGUCGGGCAGAAUUAAAUAAAUCGUUUGAUUUUCAAGACUGAGAGUGCCAAAUUCAUCCGAUCAACAUAGUUCCAGUCGUUUACCAAGAA